GACUCUCGAAAACGGAUAUCUCAUCUCUUGUCACGAUGAAGAAUGUAGCGAAAUGCGAUACUUAGUGUGAAUUGCAGAAUCCCGUGAAUCAUUGAGUUUUUGAACGCAAUUUACGCCUGAGGCCUCAGUCGAGGGCACGUCUGUCUGGGCGUCG
rnacentral:rRNA from 1 species